CAAAGAAGGCGUAAUGCUAGCAGCGGCGGAACGCGUAUGAUUUGAUAAUUAUCGCGUUCCGCCACUGCUAGCUUUGCGCCUGCUUCACG
rnacentral:pre_miRNA from 1 species